rnacentral:misc_RNA from 1 species
CCCCUGCUCAACCUCUGUUUUUGCUCGUAUUCAUCAUCUUCUCCAUUUAUCUCUCAAAUUUCUUGCUUUUUAGACCACUCUCUCUCUUUUCCCCUUGUUGGUGUCCUUUCGUGCUAGAGAAACUCUAAAAAUCCAGCCAUCUUUCCUCCCUCUUCCCUUCUCUUCUUCUGCUUCUUUCUUUCUUUCUUUCUUUCUUUUCCUUUC